rnacentral:rRNA from 1 species
UGAGCUGGGUGUGGCCGCAGAGACCAGCGAGAAGCGACUGUUUACUAAAAACACAGGUCCGUGCGAAGCCGUAAGGCGAUGUAUACGGACUGACGCCUGCCCGGUGCUGGAACGUUAAGGGGACCGGUUAGUCACAUUUCGGUGUGGCGAAGCUGAGAACUUAAGCGCCAGUAAACGGCGGUGGUAACUAUAACCAUCCUAAGGUAGCGAAAUUCCUUGUCGGGUAAGUUCCGACCUGCACGAAUGGCGUAACGACUUCUCGACUGUCUCAACCAUAGGCCCGGUGAAAUUGCAUUACGAGUAAAGAUGCUCGUUUCGCGCAGCAGGACGGAAAGACCCCGGGACCUUUACUACAGUUUGAUAUUGGUGUUCGGUUCGGCUUGUGUAGGAUAGGUGGGAGACUGUGAAGCAUGCACGCCAGUGUGUGUGGAGUCGUCGUUGAAAUACCACUCUGGUCGUGCUGGAUGUCUAACCUGGGUCCGUGAUCCGGAUCAGGGACAGUGUCUGAUGGGUAGUUUAACUGGGGCGGUUGCCUCCUAAAGAGUAACGGAGGCGCCCAAAGGUUCCCUCAGCCUGGUUGGUAAUCAGGUGUUGAGUGUAAGUGCACAAGGGAGCUUGACUGUGAGACCGACGGGUCGAGCAGGGACGAAAGUCGGGACUAGUGAUCCGGCGGUGGCUUGUGGAAGCGCCGUCGCUCAACGGAUAAAAGGUACCCCGGGGAUAACAGGCUGAUCUUCCCCAAGAGUCCAUAUCGACGGGAUGGUUUGGCACCUCGAUGUCGGCUCGUCGCAUCCUGGGGCUGGAGUCGGUCCCAAGGGUUGGGCUGUUCGCCCAUUAAAGCGGUACGCGAGCUGGGUUUAGAACGUCGUGAGACAGUUCGGUCCCUAUCCGCUGUGCGCGUAGGAAUAUUGAGAAGGGCUGUCCCUAGUACGAGAGGACCGGGACGGACGAACCUCUGGUGUGCCAGUUGUUCUGCCAAGGGCAUGGCUGGUUGGCUACGUUCGGGAGGGAUAACCGCUGAAAGCAUCUAAGCGGGAAGCCUGCUUCGAGAUGAGUAUUCCCACCUCCUUGAGAGGGUAAGGCUCCCAGUAGACGACUGGGUUGAUAGGCCGGAUAUGGAAGCCCUGUAAGGGGUGGAGUUGACCGGUACUAAUAGGCCGAGGGCUUGUCCUCAGUUG